CCUACGGGAGGCAGCAGUGGGGGAUAUUGCACAAUGGGGGAAACCCUGAUGCAGCGAAGCCGCGUGAGCGAUGAAGUAUUUCUGUAUGUAAAGCCCUAUCAGCAGGGAAGAAAAUGACGGUACGUGUCUAAGAAGCUCCGUCUAACUCCGUGCCAGCAGCCGCGGUAAUACGUAGGGGGCAAGCGUGAUCCGGAUUUACUGGGUGUAAAGGGAGCGUAGUCGGCAGUGUAAGUCUGAGGUGAAAGUCCAGGGCUCAACCCUUGGACUGCUUUGGAAACUGGGCUGCUGGAGUGUCGGAGAGGCAAGUGGAAUUCGUGGUGUAGCGGUGAAAUGCGUAGAUAUUAGGAGGAACACCAGUGGCGAAGGCGGCUUGCUGGGCGAUGACUGACGUUGAGGCACGAAAGCGUGGGGAGCAAACAGGAUUAGAUACCCGGGUAGUC
rnacentral:rRNA from 1 species